ACCUCGUGAUGUGGGCAUCUACGGAGUAGACCCCAAAAGCGCUCCCAAGUCUAGAAAAAGAGUUCCCCGUCCAUCUAUGAGAAACUUGAGAUAGCUCUCCGAAACU